GAUUAGACAGGAAGGCUCGCUUGAAUGAACAGUAGCAAGGGGCGCUUUCUUUAAAGAAUCUUUCCCCGCCCGAAAGCUUACAAAAAGAAAGAGUUCCGCUUGUUCUAGGUUCAAGCUCAAGUGCAAGAUCCACUGGCUAGUUACUUCUCCACUUAACUCCGCCAUCAGACUAGUGAUAUUUUCACUAAGCCUCCUCUCCUAUCCGUCGCUAUCGGUUAGU
rnacentral:misc_RNA from 1 species